rnacentral:tRNA from 1 species
GCUGGGGACGCCAAUAUGGUAUCGGCAGUCGCCUUAUAAGCGACAGAUAGGUAGGUUCAAAUCCUCCCCCUAGCACCA